rnacentral:tRNA from 1 species
GGGGCCGUAGCCCAAUGGCAGAGGCACACGGUUUAGGUCCGUGCCAGUGAGGGUUCGACUCCCUCCGGCCCCACCA